GACUGCGGUAAUAACCGGAGAAGUGGGGAUGACGUCAAAUCAUCAUGCCCCUUAUGACCUGGGCUACACACGUGCUACAAUGGUUGGUACAACGAGUUGCGAGUCGGUGACGGCGAGCUAAUCUCUUAAAGCCAAUCUCAGUUCGGAUUGUAGGCUGCAACUCGCCUACAUGAAGUCGGAAUCGCUAGUAAUCGCGGAUCAGCACGCCGCGGUGAAUACGUUCCCGGGCCUU
rnacentral:rRNA from 1 species